UAUGGAGAGUUUGAUCCUGGCUCAGGACGAACGCUGGCGGCGUGCCUAAUACAUGCAAGUCGAGCGGACGAUUCGAAAGCUUGCUUUUGAAUCGUUAGCGGCGGACGGGUGAGUAACACGUGGGCAACCUGCCCUGUAGACGGGGAUAACACCGAGAAAUCGGUGCUAAUACCGGAUAACACGAAAUGUCGCAUGACGUUUCGUUGAAAGACGGCGCAAGCUGUCGCUACAGGAUGGGCCCACGGCGCAUUAGCUAGUUGGUGAGGUAACGGCUCACCAAGGCGACGAUGCGUAGCCGACCUGAGAGGGUGAUCGGCCACACUGGGACUGAGACACGGCCCAGACUCCUACGGGAGGCAGCAGUAGGGAAUCUUCCGCAAUGGACGAAAGUCUGACGGAGCAACGCCGCGUGAGCGAAGAAGGCC
rnacentral:rRNA from 1 species